GUGGGGAAUAUUGGACAAUGGGCGAAAGCCUGAUCCAGCCAUGCCGCGUGUGUGAAGAAGGUCUUCGGAUUGUAAAGCACUUUAAGUUGGGAGGAAGGGCAGUAAGUUAAUACCUUGCUGUUUUGACGUUACCGACAGAAUAAGCACCGGCUAACUUCGUGCCAGCAGCCGCGGUAAUACAGAGGGUGCAAGCGUUAAUCGGAAUUACUGGGCGUAAAGCGCGCGUAGGUGGUUCGUUAAGUUGGAUGUGAAAGCCCCGGGCUCAACCUGGGAACUGCAUCCAAAACUGGCGAGCUAGAGUACGGUAGAGGGUGGUGGAAUUUCCUGUGUAGCGGUGAAAUGCGUAGAUAUAGGAAGGAACACCAGUGGCAAAGGCGACCACCUGGACUGAUACUGACACUGAGGUGCGAAAGCGUGGGGAGCAAACAGGAUUAGAUACCCCUGUAGUCC
rnacentral:rRNA from 1 species